rnacentral:rRNA from 1 species
UGGGGUAGCUCUUCGGGGAGUGUAUAAAGUGGCGAACGGGUGAGUAACACGUAGAUACGUGCCCUAGAGAGGGGGACAACCGGUGGAAACGCCGGCUAAUACCCCAUAUGACGAAAGUCGAAAGCUCCGGCGCUCUAGGAGUGGUCUGCGGUCCAUCAGCUAGUUGGUAGGGUAAAGGCCUACCAAGGCAAAGACGGAUAGGGGGCGUGAGAGCGUGACCCCCCACACUGGUACUGAUACACGGACCAGAUACCUACGGGUAGCAGCAGCGAGGAAUAUUGCGCAAUGGGGGCAACCCUGACGCAGCAACGCCGCGUGGAGGAUGAAGGCCUUCGGGUCGUAAACUUCUUUUCUAACAGAAGAGAAAGGACGGUAUGUUAGGAAUAAGGCCCGGCUAACUACGUGCCAGCAGCCGCGGUAAAACGUAGGGGCCAAGCGUUAUCCGGAAUUACUGGGCGUAAAGCGCGCGCAGGCGGUUUUGAAAGUUGGAUGUGAAAGCUCCCGGCUCAACUGGGAGAGGCCAUUCAAAACUACAAGACUGGAGUACGAUAGAGGCAAGUGGAAUUCCCGGUGUAGCGGUGAAAUGCGUAGAUAUUGGGAGGAACACCUAAGGCGAAAGCAGCUUGCUGGGUCGUUACUGACGCUGAGGC